rnacentral:lncRNA from 1 species
CCCCUCUCCCAGCAGAAAUUCAGAAAGGGCAGUACUUGAUCUGCCCAGCUGGUGAGGAGGAGGGUUCCAGUGGGCAUGUCCACACUCUGGCUUUCUAGAUCAGAAGGAAAACAAUUCCUUGCCUCUUCUGGAAUGAAUUCUGUACCUGAGAAUGGCAAAACAGAUCAGUACCCUCCAGUGGAAGCUAAUGAUCCUGGACUAAAAAGAAAAACAAUAGCACAAAGUGAAUCUCAUUCUCAGGAAAGGUUCUGGGCUGAUACAACCAGUAUGCAAAAAGGUAUGUUCUUUUAAAAAUGUUCCACACAUGAACUGUAGGAAAAUCAAGAAAAGCAUGAGCUGCUGAGCAUCCUGUUCAUCUGAAAGUGAGUGGAGGGAAGGACAUUCAGCAUUCCACAGGUUGGACUUUCUCU